GACGAACGCUGGCGGCGUGCCUAAUACAUGCAAGUAGAACGCAGUUGCGAACGGGUGAGUAACGCGUAGGUAACUGCCUCAUAGCGGGGGAUAACUAUUGGAAACGAUAGCUAAUACCGCAUACUGUGAGAUGGACCUGCGUUGUAUUAGCUAGUUGGUGAGGUAAAGGCUCACCAAGGCGACGAUACAUAGCCGACCUGAGAGGGUGGACGGGCACAAUGGGACAUGAGCAAGGGCCAGACUCCUACAGGAGGCAAGAGUAGGGGAACUUCGGCAAUGGGGGGAAGUCUGGACGAGCAACGGCGCGUGAGGUAAGAAGGUUUUCGGAUUAGAAAGCUAUGUUGUUAGAGAAGCGGUAACUAACCAGAAAGGGACGGCUAACUACGUGCCAGCAGCCGCGGUAAUAC
rnacentral:rRNA from 1 species